rnacentral:sRNA from 1 species
AACUAAACCCGACAGACGCGGAAAUACUUUUUUUUAGCAGCAGCCCUUAAUAAACUGUUAUGCUGAGGCACGAAGCAUUGUAGCCGAUGAAAUGGUUUCCCCCUGCCUCAGCAUGAUGGAAGUUAAAAAAAGAUUGUAGCAAAUGGCAGGACUGCUC